CAUCCGGUAGCAAUACCGGGGAAGACCUAGCGGCGAACGGGUGAGUAACACGUGAGAAACCUGCCCCGAAGUCUGGGAUAACCCGAGGAAACUCGAGCUAAUACCGGAUGUCUUCUUCUGAUCGCAUGGUCGGAUGAAGAAAGAUUUAUCGCUUCGGGAGGGUCUCGCGGCCUAUCAGCUAGUUGGCGGGGUAACGGCCCACCAAGGCGUCGACGGGUAGCUGGUCUGAGAGGACGAUCAGCCACACUGGGACUGAGACACGGCCCAGACUCCUACGGGAGGCAGCAGUGGGGAAUAUUGCGCAAUGGGCGAAAGCCUGACGCAGCAACGCCGCGUGCGGGAUGAAGGCCUUCGGGUUGUAAACCGCUUUCAGUGGGGACGAAUUCAGACGGUACCCACAGAAGAAGCCCCGGCCAACUACGUG
rnacentral:rRNA from 1 species